AGCAGUGGGGAAUAUUGCGCAAUGGGGGGAACCCUGACGCAGCGACGCCGCGUGAGUGAAGAAGGUCUUCGGAUCGUAAAGCUCUGUCAUCGGGGACGAAGGAAUGACGGUACCCGAAGAGGAAGCCCCGGCUAACUACGUGCCAGCAGCCGCGGUAAUACGUAGGGGGCGAGCGUUGUCCGGAAUUACUGGGCGUAAAGGGUGCGUAGGCGGCCUGAUAAGUCAGGUGUGAAAUACCAGGGCUCAACCCUGGGGGUGCACUUGAAACUGUCGGGCUUGAGUGCAGGAGAGGAAAGCGGAAUUCCUAGUGUAGCGGUGAAAUGCGUAGAUAUUAGGAGGAACACCAGUGGCGAAGGCGGCUUUCUGGACUGUAACUGACGCUGAGGCACGAAAGCGUGGGUAGCGAACAGGAUUAGAUACCCUGGUAGUCCACGCCGUAAACGAUGGAUACUAGGUGUAGGGAGGGUUAACCUUUCUGUGCCGUAGUUAACGCAAUAAGUAUCCCGCCUGGGGAGUACGUGCGCAAGCAUGAAACUCAAAGGAAUUGACAGGGACCCGCACAAGCAGCGGAGCAUGUGGUUUAAUUCGAAGCAACGCGAAGAACCUUACCAGGGCUUGACAUCCCGAUGACCGGUGCAGAGAUGUACCUUCUCUUCGGAGCAUCGGUGACAGGUGGUGCAUGGUUGUCGUCAGCUCGUGUCGUGAGAUGUUGGGUUAAGUCCCGCAACGAGCGCAACCCCUGUCUUUAGUUGCAAACACGUAAUGGUGUGCACUCUAAAGAGACUGCCGUGGACAACACGGAGGAGGGUGGGGACGACGUCAAAUCAUCAUGCCCCUUAUGUCCUG
rnacentral:rRNA from 1 species